UACAGAGGGUGCGAGCGUUAAUCGGAAUUACUGGGCGUAAAGCGCACGUAGUCGGCUUUGCAAGUCGGGUGUGAAAUCCCCGGGCUUAACCUGGGAACUGCAUUUGUGACUGCAUGGCUGGAGUGCGGCAGAGGGGGAUGGAAUUCCGCGUGUAGCAGUGAAAUGCGUAGAUAUGCGGAGGAACACCGAUGGCGAAGGCAAUCCCCUGGGCCUGCACUGACGCUCAUGCACGAAAGCGUGGGGAGCAAACAGG
rnacentral:rRNA from 1 species